UGUUGUGAAGGAAUACCACAAAUCAACUACUUGAUUUAUGAAGGCAUAUCAUCCAGCAAAGGCAGCAGCGCAGUCAUGAACUACAUGCACUAUUUCUUACCAAACUACGGAGUUGGGGAAAUACGUGUGGACCUGAAUUGUAACAACUGCAGCGGCCAAAACAAGAACAAGAUUGUGCUCUGGUAUUGUGCCUGGCGGACCAUGCACAAGCUCCACCACAGUUUGGACCUUCACUUCCUGAUCACAGGUCACAUCAAGUUUGCCCCUGACUGGUGCUUCAGCCUCAUCAAGCAGAGCUUCAGAAAGACCAGAGUGAACACUUUGUGAGAGAUUGCUGGUGUGGUGAAGAAUAGCACUGUGAUUGGGGUCAACAUCCCACAGCUGGUUGGACUGGUUGGACAUGGUAUGGUGCUGGUGAAAAGCUAUGGCUGGCAACAACACCUGACUCCGUACUUCAGGCCUCUGUCACAGAUCAAGCAGUACCAGCACUUCAGCUUUGAUGCUCUGGAGCCUGGUGUUGCAUUCGGACUCAGUCGAAGGUUUCAGCUGUUGCGCUGACUCUUUGUUCCCGUUCUGAUUCUUUGCGCAAUAGACUACAUGCUAGUUGAAUGUAGAAAUAGAAUUAGUAAAAGCCAAAAUUGUUAUAUAGAUUUUAAUUCCAGUUCAAUUUUGAUGAAAGCAGCCCUGAAAUGAAUGUUUUAUACUGUAUAUGUUGAUAGUGAUUUAAAUUGGUCCUCAUUUUCAGAUUUGAAUGAGACAAUGUAUUCCCCUAAGAUAAUUAUUUCAAAAAAGUUGUAUUAUUAAUAUUACUUGUAUGUCUUACACAUAAGGUUAAGACUAAAUGUAAUGUGUUUCGGUGCAGAUGUGUUUAAUAUACAAUCCAGAUAAAGUGGUGUAAUCACAGAAAAUUCCAUAGAAUUUUUGAAAAAUACCACUGGUCACUAAAACGUGUAACUCAUUCACAGUUAAAGGGAUUUCUAUUCUGACUUCAGAUGAUCAAUCCUUACAAAAUAAGGAACACUCAAUAUGUAUAUAUGUUUGACUGAUUACAAUCUGAUGUGGUGCUAUUGUAUGUCAUAAUUUGAAUGUCUGUUUCUCAGCUUUUAAAAUGUAUGUUUUCAUAAAUGGUUUGACAGCAAAUUAUUUACACUUUAGAUCAUGGUCCAUAACAAUACUUUUACAUUCCGCCAGGCAGGAAAAGGCUAGUCUACACCUGUUGCUUAUGAAGCAUGUGACAAAUGUAAUCAAUAUGAACUGUUGUUUUUGAGGAUGAUAUUUCCUACCACAUGAUCAAAGGUAAUCCAUUUCCAAUAAAGACAACCCUUGUA
ensembl:lncRNA